ACUCCACACAGGCAGGCAGUGCUUAUGUAGGCAGCGUGCAUGGAAGCGUCCUGGAACAGAGUAAUAUUAACAAACACGGAUUCCAGCUAGGCAGCACGCACACUGGCGGAGCUACACCCACUACACCCUCGCGUCAUUAUGCAGUGUGAGAGGAGGCCGGGAGAGGCAGUGAGAGCAGUGAGAGAGGAGGGAGAGCGACACAAUAUCCUGCUAUGAUGAAAGAAUCCACGAACUUUUUGCAUUUCAAGACUGUAGGAGGAUUUCAUAACAUUCCAUAACGUCUCCUCUUUGCCUGACGACCAGCAGUGCAUGAGUUAUCCCUGACGAACACCAAGACAACAAAAACAAAUCACCCAUGAGUCUUAUGUUUCCUAAUAAAUAUAUUCAAAAUCA